AACGCUGGCGGCGUGCUUAACACAUGCAAGUCGAACGCGAAAGGGACUUCGGUCCUGAGGUAAAGUGGCGCACGGGUGAGUAACGCGUAGAUAACCUGUCUUCAUGUCUGGAAUAAUACGCCGAAAGGGUACUAAUACCGGAUAUUCUUGCUUUUCAUAAGUUAUGCAAGCAAAGGUGGCCUCUGCAUAUGCUACUGCAUGAAGAGGGGUCUGCGUACCAUUAGCUAGUAGGUGGGGUAAUGGCCUACCUAGGCGACGAUGGUUAGCGGGUCUGAGAGGAUGAUCCGCCACACUGGCACUGGAACACGGGCCAGACUCCUACGGGAGGCAGCAGUGAGGAAUAUUGCGCAAUGGGGGGAACCCUGACGCAGCGACGCCCGCGUGGACGAAGAAGGCCGUGAGGUUGUAAAGUUCUUUUCGGGAGGGGGAACAACCGUGGCAGGGAAUGGCCGCGGGAUGACGUGAAUCCCGGAAUAAGCCCCGGCUAACUACGUGCCAGCAGCCGC
rnacentral:rRNA from 1 species